rnacentral:rRNA from 1 species
GGUAUUUUGACCGUGCAAAGGUAGCAUAAUCAAUAGUUUUUUAAUUGAAAGCUGGAAUGAAAGGUUGGAUGAGAAAUAAGCUGUCUCUAUUUAAUUUUAUUAGAAUUUUAUUUUUAAGUUAAAAAGCUUAAAUUUUAAUAGAAGACGAGAAGACCCUAUAGAGUUUUAUUUAUUUAUUUAAUAAAUUUAUCAGUAUAGAUUGUUUUUAUUCAAAAAAUAAAUUUAGUUGGGGUGAUUAAAAAAUUUAAUAAACUUUUUAUAUAUUUGUACAUUAAUAUAUGAUUAUUUGAUCCUUAGUUUAAGAUUAAAAGAUAAAAUUACCUUAGGGAUAACAGCGUAAUUUUUUUUGAGAGUUCUAAUCGAAAGAAAAGAUUGCGACCUCGAUGUUGGAUUAAAAUAAAAUUUUGGUGUAGAAGCUAAAA